UGCUUGUCUCGGCCAAAUCGCACCCUCUUCAUCUCUAAGAAACAUGACAGAGCCCGGUUGACUUUCACUUUGAACACCUCAGCACUAAAAGAGCUUGCAUGGAGAGAACCAGCCAAUAUGCAGUUUUCACUAUGGACCUAGUUUGCUAUCAUCAUCAUCAUCAUCAUUUUCCCAGCAGAUCACAUAGGAUGCAAAGAGACGCUACUUCAGCAGGAAGCAAUCACCCACCAAGAACUCAGCUGAUAUGCCUCAAUCCUUUUCUCCUUUCGCUGACCGUACCCCUGCUACUUUUGAACUCUUCACUGUUUCUCAAUCUGAUGAUGGGCCAAAUCAACAGGAAAGUGAAGAAA